GAAAUCUGAGCUGAAACUGAAUCUGGCUGCGCAUCGCAUCAUACCGCUGUGGUCACAGCACCAUGGAGCUGUUAUGGAAGUUUAUCGAUACUGGAGUCUCUUUAAUGAACCACUAGGGGGCAGCACCUGUGUUGGCACUCGACAGGAAGUCGAAGCUGGUUUCUGUUUCAGGUGAGGAAACAGCUGAUAUCUGUGGAGCACAUAUGCACUCCGGCGAGCCUCUGAGAAUCAGGGUGGAGGGCGUCCAUGCUGCGGUCACACAGGGCAGAGUGGAGUCAGACUCUUUGAGUCAGAGUCUUUGAAUAAAGGAAAGAAAUCCAGAAAAGCAUCAUCAUCAAAGCUCAUGUCCCCUCCAGCUCUGUGAUGAGCUGAUCAUCUGUAAACGAUCCCGGGAGGCGCUGUCCUUCAGGACGUGCUGAGUGCUGAUGAAGAGGAGGGAGCGGAGGAACCUUUUAAAAACUGAAGGUCACUUCUAACAAAGCAGCGCUUUGACCAGAGAAACAAAUCUCACCCUGACUGUGUGCGAAGGUUCAGCUGCUGCGUGUUCCCGGGAGAAAAA